UCGUAACAAGGUCUCCGUUGGUGAACCAGCGGAGGGAUCAUUACUGAGUUUACGCUCUACAACCCUUUGUGAACAUACCUAUAACUGUUGCUUCGGCGGGUAGGGUCUCCGUGACCCUCCCGGCCUCCCGCCCCCGGGCGGGUCGGCGCCCGCCGGAGGAUAACCAAACUCUGAUUUAACGACGUUUCUUCUGAGUGGUACAAGCAAAUAAUCAAAACUUUUAACAACGGAUCUCUUGGUUCUGGCAUCGAUGAAGAACGCAGCGAAAUGCGAUAAGUAAUGUGAAUUGCAGAAUUCAGUGAAUCAUCGAAUCUUUGAACGCACAUUGCGCCCGCCAGCAUUCUGGCGGGCAUGCCUGUUCGAGCGUCAUUUCAACCCUCAAGCUCUGCUUGGUGUUGGGGCCCUACAGCUGAUGUAGGCCCUCAAAGGUAGUGGCGGACCCUCCCGGAGCCUCCUUUGCGUAGUAACUUUACGUCUCGCACUGGGAUCCGGAGGGACUCUUGCCGUAAAACCCCCAAUUUUCCAAAGGUGA
rnacentral:rRNA from 1 species